AACGAACGCUGGCGGCAGGCUUAACACAUGCAAGUCGAACGCAUCGCAAGAUGAGUGGCAGACGGGUGAGUAACACGUGGGAACGUACCCUUUACUACGGAAUAACGCAUGGAAACGUGUGCUAAUACCGUAUGAGCCCUUAGGGGGAAAGAUUUAUCGGUAAAGGAUCGGCCCGCGUUGGAUUAACUAGUUGGUGGGGUAAAGGCCUACCAAGGCGACGAUCCAUAGCUGGUCUGAGAGGAUGAUCAGCCACAUUGGGACUGAGACACGGCCCAAACUCCUACGGGAGGCAGCAGUGGGGAAUAUUGGACAAUGGGCGCAAGCCUGAUCCAGCCAUGCCGCGUGAGUGAUGAAGGCCUUAGGGUUGUAAAGCUCUUUCACCGGAGAAGAUAAUGACGGUAUCCGGAGAAGAAGCCCCGGCUAACUUCGUGCCAGCCGCCGCUGUAA
rnacentral:rRNA from 1 species